rnacentral:rRNA from 1 species
UACGUAGGGUCCGAGCGUUGUCCGGAAUUACUGGGCGUAAAGAGCUCGUAGGCGGUUUGUCGCGUCGGGAGUGAAAACACCGGGCUUAACUCGGUGCUUGCUUUCGAUACGGGCAGACUAGAGGCAUGCAGGGGAGAACGGAAUUCCUGGUGUAGCGGUGAAAUGCGCAGAUAUCAGGAGGAACACCGGUGGCGAAGGCGGUUCUCUGGGCAUGUCCUGACGCUGAGGAGCGAAAGUGUGGGGAGCGAACAGG